rnacentral:rRNA from 1 species
UCCAGACUCCUACGGGAGGCAGCAGUGGGGGAUGUUGCACAAUGGGGGAAACCCUGAUGCGGCGACGCCGCGUGAGUGAAGAAGUAAUUCGUUACGUAAAGCUCUAUCAGCAGGGAAGAAAAUGACGGUACCUGACUAAGAAGCCCCGGCUAACUACGUGCCAGCAGCCGCGGUAAUACGUAGGGGGCAAGCGUUAUCCGGAUUUACUGGGUGUAAAGGGAGCGCAGGCGGCACGGCAAGCCUGAUGUGAAAGCCCGCGGCCCAACCGCGGGACUGCAUUGGGAACUACCGGGCUGGAGUGCCGGAGAGGUAGGCGGAAUUCCUAGUGUAGCGGUGAAAUGCGUAGAUAUUAGGAGGAACACCAGUGGCGAAGGCGGCCUACUGGACGGUGACUGACGCUGAGGCUCGAAAGCGUGGGGAGCAAACAGGAUUAGAUACCCUUGUACUG